UAGGGAAUCUUGCACAAUGGGCGAAAGCCUGAUGCAGCGACGCCGCGUGCGGGAUGACGGCCCUCGGGUUGUAAACCGCUUUCAGCAGGGACGAAAUUGACGGUACCUGCAGAAGAAGCCCCGGCCAACUACGUGCCAGCAGCCGCGGUAAUACGUAGGGGGCAAGCGUUGUCCGGAUUUAUUGGGCGUAAAGAGCUCGUAGGCGGUUCGACAAGUCGGAUGUGAAAUCUCCACGCUCAACGUGGAGGGGCCAUUCGAAACUGUCGUGACUUGAGUCCGGUAGGGGAGUGUGGAAUUCCCGGUGUAGCGGUGAAAUGCGCAGAGAUCGGGAGGAACACCCGUAGCGAAGGCGGCACUCUGGGCCGUGACUGACGCUGAGGAGCGAAAGCGUGGGGAGCAAACAGGAUUAGAUACCCCGGUAGUCC
rnacentral:rRNA from 1 species